GCCUCAAACCUAGCCCACACGACCCGCAUGACGCCCACAAACUACUGUAAAAAACAAAACAUUUUAACAUUUUAGUAUAGGCGAUAGAAACAUUACUAAGCGCUUUAGAUAAAGUACCGCAAGGGAAAUAUGAAAUAGAAAUGAAAUAAUACUUCAGCCACAAAUAGCAGAGACACCCCCUCG
rnacentral:rRNA from 1 species